rnacentral:tRNA from 1 species
GCGCGAGUGGCGGAAUUGGUAGACGCGCUGGCUUCAGGUGCCAGUGAUCUCACGAUCGUGGGGGUUCAACUCCCCCCUCGCGCAC